GCGGGGUUGGCUCAGCUGGUAGUAGCGCAGGUCUCAUAUUCCGAGAUAUCCUGAGGUCGCGAGUUCGAUCCUCGCAUCCCGCA